rnacentral:tRNA from 2 species
AUUUCUAUAGUUGAGGACAACGAUGGUUUUUCAGACCAUAGGCCUUGGGUGUAACCAAGUAGAAAUA